rnacentral:rRNA from 1 species
UUUUAACGGCCGCGGUAUCCUAACCGUGCAAAGGUAGCGUAAUCACUUGUCCCCUAAAUAGGGACUAGUAUGAACGGCUAAAUGAGGACUAACCUGUCUCCUUUGACUAAUCAGUGAAACUGAUCUUUCGGUACAAAAGCCGAAAUAAACACAUAAGACGAGAAGACCCUGUGGAGCUUUAAAUUACAACCAAAACAUGCUAACACAGCAUACCAAAACAUGGCCAAAAAUUUUAAGUUGGGGCGACUUCGGAACCAAACAAAACUUCCGAGAAUAAAGAAUAUUCCUCUUACCGAGACCCACAAGUCAAAGCAAAAAUUGACCCAGUACCACUGACCAACGAACCAAGUUACCCCAGGGAUAACAGCGCUAUCUUCUUCAAGAGUCCAUAUCGACAAGAAGGUUUACGACCUCGAUGUUGGAUCAGGACACCCAAAUGGUGCAGCAGCUAUUAAAGGUUCGUUUGUUCAACGAUUAACAGUCCU